rnacentral:rRNA from 1 species
GAUAAACGCUGGCGGCACACAUAAGACAUGCAAGUCGAACGAACUUAACUUUAAUAUUUAUAUUGAAGAGCGGUUAGUGGCGGACUGGUGAGUAACACGUAAGCAAUCUACCUAUUAGAGGGGAAUAACAGUGAGAAAUCAUUGCUAAUACCGCAUAUGCUUGUAGGAUUACAUGGUCUAGCAAGGAAAGGAGUAAUCCGCUAAUAGAUGAGCUUGCGCCUGAUUAGCUAGUUGGUGGGGUAAAGGCCUACCAAGGCGACGAUCAGUAGCCGGACUGAGAGGUUGAACGGCCACAUUGGGACUGAGAUACGGCCCAGACUCCUACGGGAGGCAGCAGUCGGGAAUAUUGCGCAAUGGAGGGAACUCUGACGCAGUGAUGCCGCGUAUGGGAAGAAGGUUUUAGGAUUGUAAACCAUUUUAGACAGGGAAGAAAAAAAUGACAGUACCUGUAGAAUAAGCUCCGGCUAACUACGUGCCAGCCGCCGCCGUAAAAC